UACGUAGGGUGCGAGCGUUAAUCGGAAUUACUGGGCGUAAAGGGUGAGUAGGCGGAUAUGUAAGUUAGAUGUGAAAUACCCGAGCUUAACUUGGGAAUGGCAUUUAAGACUGCGUAUCUAGAGUUUGUCAGAGGGGGGUAGAAUUCCAAGUGUAGCAGUGAAAUGCGUAGAGAUUUGGAGGAAUACCGGUGGCGAAGGCGGCCCCCUGGG
rnacentral:rRNA from 1 species